rnacentral:misc_RNA from 1 species
GAUGAAGAACGUAGCGAAAUGCGAUACUUGGUGUGAAUUGCAGAAUCCCGUGAACCAUCGAGUCUUUGAACGCAAGUUGCGCCCGAAGCCAUUAGGCCGAGGGCACGCCUGCCUGGGCGUCACACGUCGUUGCCCCCCCAUCUACUCCUUCGGGAUUGCGGGGGGCGGAUGAUGGCCUCCCGUGCGCCUCGCCGCGCGGUUGGCAUAAAUGCCAAGUCCUCGGCGACGCACGCCACGACAAUCGGUGGUUGCGAAACCUCGGUUGCCCGUCGUGUGCGGUCGUCGGGCAUCGAGGGCUCGAAAAAAUUGCCGGGUUCCGGCUCGGCUUUCAACGCGACCCCAGGUCAGGCGGGGUUACCCGCUGAAUUUAAGCAUAUCAAUAAGCGGAGGA